rnacentral:rRNA from 1 species
GCUUGACGGUACUGUAAGAAUAAGGAUCGGCUAACUCCGUGCCAGCAGCCGCGGUAAUACGGAGGAUCCAAGCGUUAUCCGGAAUCAUUGGGUUUAAAGGGUCCGUAGGCGGUUUAGUAAGUCAGUGGUGAAAGCCCAUCGCUCAACGGUGGAACGGCCAUUGAUACUGCUAAACUUGAAUUAUUAGGAAGUAACUAGAAUAUGUAGUGUAGCAGUGAAAUGCUUAGAGAUUACAUGGAAUACCAAUUGCGAAGGCAGGUUACAACUAAUUGAUUGACGCUGAUGGACGAAAGCGUGGGUAGCGAACAGGAUUAGAUACCCUGGUAGUCCACGCCGUAAACGAUGGAUACUAGCUGUUGGGGGCAACUUCAGUGGCUAAGCGAAAGUGAUAAGUAUCCCACCUGGGGAGUACGUUCGCAAGAAUGAAACUCAAAGGAAUUCACAGGGGCCCGCACAAGCGGUGGAGCAUGUGGUUUAAUUCGAUGAUACGCGAGGAACCUUACCAAGGCUUAAAUGUCAGUUUGACCGAUUUGGAAACAGAUUUUUCGCAAGACAAAUUACAAGGUGCUGCAUGGUUGUCGUCAGCUCGUGCCGUGAGGUGUCAGGUUAAGUCCUAUAACGAGCGCAACCCCUGUUGUUAGUUGCCAGCGAGUCAUGUCGGGAACUCUAACAAGACUGCCAGUGCAAACUGUGAGGAAGGUGGGGAUGACGUCAAAUCAUCACGGCCCUUACGCCUUGGGCUACA